AGCGAGGAACGACAACUCUGCAUGGCGAUUAAAAAUACCAAUAGCAUUGUUUACUUCCGGUAGAGGCAGUGUGGGUAAUUCGCCAUUUACAUAAGUACUAAAUUAUUCGACGUCGUUGUCCUGUUUUAUAAACAGUGGUAUUAAGCAACGGUGUCCGGAACUCGGGAGUUUGACAAAAGUAACCGGAUGACAGUCAGUUCAAAGAUAUGAACACUGACGAAAACGAAUUGAAGAUAGGGGCUGUGUUCUCGCUGGCAAGUCCUGAGAAAGACGAGACUGACGUCACAUUCGAGAGCGCCGGGCCUAAAGAGGCCGUCGCAAUGGUGACCUACAACGACGACAGCAACGAGAGCAAUGGCAAAACGCCUACAACCGGUGACGAUAUGACGUCACCGGUGGACGAGAUGACGUCAUAUGUAAGCGACAUGACGUCAUCAAAAAUGUCAGCCAUCGCCGAUGAAGCUUUGCAUGACUCUCACCCGCACACAUCUGAGUCGCUUCUUUCAGCUGAACCUAAUACAUUUACCACGGAAACGAAUGACGAGAGUAUGCCAUCGUUGUCUCCGAUGAAACAGCAACCAUUAUCGUCGCCGACACGUAGCUUUAAAGCAACCGUCGCAGCCGCAAGCGAGGAUGAGUCACCGCCGCGUCUUCCGAAAGAGUAUUUUGUCGAUAAGUUGGUGGGAGAGGAUUUCAUGGGUAAUCAAGACAGCAUCGCCCCGCCAGUUUUGCGCCCUGAAGUUCCAUCGCUCACGAAGAUCAAGGCCUCCACACUUCUGCUCUGGAAUUUGGGAAGAUAUAGAAUCCCCUCUAGAUGCUUUCCUGAAAAGGCAACAGCUCUUGAAAAAGAUGAUUUUGUCCCGACUCCGUUACCGGCGAAGAAGCGAAAGAUCGACCCCUCUUACAUCGUGCUCACCAGCAUAGACCCCUGGCUGGGAACGCGGAGUAGCGUCACUUUGAGUGACUUCGCGCAUGCGCAGACCGAAUGCUCCAACAUGUGCAAGAAGAUCAGCUUUAAACGUCGACUGACGCGCGGAGAUGAUGUCUUCAACGUGAAAACGCCUAGUAAGCAAAAGGAUUACCAUGUGUAUCUAGAGAAGUUCGAGAAGAAUCAAGAAGUCAAUGCGUCUAAGAAACCUGGAGUAGGAAUCACAAUGAAGGACCUUUUGACCUUGAUAAAGGAUAACAAAUUACCGAGGCGCUCAAAGCGUCCCGCGAAGAGUUACUUAAAUCGGGUACGGAGAACUAUUGUUCAUGUUCCUGCAGACUUUAAGACAAGCGUCGCGACGGCGGAACUUGAACAAUUGGAAAUUCCGAAAGACAAUAAAAAAGCUUUGGAAAAUAAGGAAAAAGAACUAUGGGCGGAAAGACGAGAACGAGAAAAAGUCUGUGAACUUGAAACUCUUGGAAAGUUUAUUGAAAUCAAACGGAGAUGGAAUAAAAAAUUAAAAAGAUUGAAGUCAGCCCUGAAGCGUCCGGCAACUGUGACGGAAGGCACAAGAAGCUUGAGCGGGCGAGUGAGGAAGUCCAAUUCGCGGUACAGUGUCGGCUUCGUCUCGGAUAAAAUGGAACUAUUAGCGGAAGAAAUCAACGCUCGCAUGCUUGCGAAGAUAAAAUACGCCAGUGAGAUGAGUCGAUAUAAGCUUCGAAUUGAAGAAAACCGCCACUGCAAGGCGCUGGAAAGAUCUGUCUUGGAAAUGACCCAAUUACACAAAAAGCAGAAAGUCGACAUUGUUAUAGAACGUGUUGACGAGGUAGAUGUACCCAAAGAAGGUAAAAUAAAGACACAGACAGUGAGAAAUAACAAGAAACGGGUGUAUGGAAAGACUGGGACCGCGUUAAAUCGUACUGGUUUAAUGUUGGAUAUUGAAAACGAAAUCUGCACGCAAAGAGAAGCGUUGCGUAACGGAAAAGGCUUGUCAAAUAGUAAGGCUCAAAACAGUGCUGAAAGAAAACCGACAGACGGUGUUCUCAUACAAAACGCCCCUAACGAAAACUGCUACAUACGUAGCCUGUUAACAACAAAGUCAUUUUCGCCCGAUCUUUCGCGAGUGAAAUCCGAACCGAUGGAUAGUCAUGAUUUAGAUAAACAACCGAUGACGUUGUCAGACCUGAUGACGUCACAAGUACGCGUUUUCAAAACGGAGCUUAUAGAUAACGGUUACGAGCAGGCGAACGACGCUCUUAUUGAAGAAAAAUUCAAGAAAUUUAAAGUGCCAGACAAGGUCAAGCAAUUGUUUAUAAAUAAAUCGCAGUCGCAAAUUCCGACGGGGUAUCCAGCAUCUCCUUCCUGUGCUUCCGGGCAUGAUGUUAAUGUCUUCGAAACCAGUAAGUGGACACCCCCUGCAACCUCUUCGCAAUACCUGGUGAUUGAUAGUCCGGUAUUGCUACCCGGCGUCUCAACAUCUUCUGCAAACACGGUCGUAUAUCCCCAGCCGCUGACUUCCGGUGGGUACACGACCUUGCGAUUUGAAACUAACCAGUUGUCAACAUCUAAACAGCGUCUGACACUGACGAAAGUCACCACCGCCAAAAGUAACCAGACGGUUACAAGCCUGACAACAGCAGCGUCGAAACCGCCCGUAUCUACCGCCGCCAGUCAUGUAAUAACGAACACGCUACGCAGCAGUCAACAGAAUCAUCCGCCAUCUCCGCCGGUGUCGGCGAUUUUACCAAAACCAAACACAAGACCACAGGUGUUGUUCAUUCCAGUAACCACUACCGGACAAAUAGCUUCGGGCGGCGUGUUUCCAGUUCCCGUGCGCACACGAUUUCCAGUGGCGUCCCAAUCUUUAGUUCCAUCGUCAGUUAACGGCCAAUUGCUGGAAUCAUGCGUUAUCCACCAAGCGUCGCCAACGAGUAAGCUAGAAAACCCAUCGAUGCCGCAAAAAGUAACCGUAAUGUACUCCGCACACGACCCGAGUAAGCCCCCAGUGCAGACGGUAGGAAGCAUGCGGCCAAUUACGUUAUCCACAACUAGCACAGCGCCAAAAAGAGUAUCCUCGCUGUUACCGACAACCCUAAACGACGCAGAUGAUAAAACGCCAACAAACAGCAAUGCCAAAUUCUAUUUGCUGAAGGUCGACGGUAAGAACAUUCUCAUUCCGCUGGCGACGGACCAUUCACCGCCUGUGGCGUACGUCAUGAAUGGGACAUCGCUACUGAAGACAACCGCGCCCACGGCUAUGACGUCAACAAUAUUGUCUACCGCUCGGAACGUUUCUACAGUUUCUGUAGCGCCAAGAACCGCAUAUUCUGUUGGUGGAAAUAAAGCGUCAGCUGUGGAAACAACGUGUACUCAAAUAGCUCCGACUGUAAAAACCACGAGCUCAUCAACGGCUGCGAGCGCUACGAUAUUCUCGGCAACGUCACUAACCGUACCGUGUGUUGGUGCAAAUAAUACGUUAGUGUUGCAAUCGACUGCAACGUCACGCGUAGUCAAUUCACAAGGUACGUCGAAAACAACAUUGACUCAAAAGGCGCAGACUCUGAAAACAAUAAUGUCUGCUGGUGGAAAUACUGCGUCAGCUUUGCAAACAACGCGGACUCAAGUAGCUCCUACUAAAAACACGACGAACUCGGCCUCCAGUACUCAAACUGAUGCAUCGGCGAGAGUCUCUCAGAUAUACAACAGAUUCAUACAAACUGUUGGUCAAGUAACGUCGACGUCGAGUAAAUCGACGCAACCUUUAGCGAAGGUUAAUGCGUUUUUACGGCCGUCACAAAUAAACCAAUCGGGGAUCGUGUUACAGCUUCAGACUUUGAAGACCUCUAAGAAUGAGGGAAAUAAGUCCGAAUCGUCAAACGAUGACCUUGCGAUAUCUGACGGUCGGAACUCACCGUCUGACGUAAAAGAGACACAGCUUCAGACGUUAAAGACAAAGCUAGUGAAUAUGAAAUCGAAAUAUGAUGGAUCAGAAAAAACGGCGAUUCGCGACUUUUUAAAGGAUUUUAGAGGGGAGACUUCUGCGAAAGAAACGAUCUGUAAUUCAUCCCUCACGAAUACAUCUAGCGCUGAACAUAGCGCUAAGAAUACGACACAUCCGUCCGAACCGACAAAACAUAACCUUGUGACGUCUGACUUUACGACUUUAUCGGAAGAUGUCAAAGAAACAACAACCAAGCCGUUUUCUAGAAGGAAUAACGGCGAGAGAAGAACGAUUAAGAAAACUUAAAGAACUAUUGAAAGAAAAACAGAAAGCGGUGGACGAAAUUCGGCAACAAAAAGUCCUCACAAUGUUCUCCUCAGAGUAACGUCUGGGUAUAAUUCGAAGUCGAACCAAAGGCCAAGCUACCUUUCAAACGUUGCCGCCAUCGCCGGAAAAUAGUCGUUUGUCUGCGAGUUUUACAAGAAUUCGUGAAGCUGAAUAUCUGAACACGGCAUAUUGGCUUGUCUGCCAUCAUUGCCAGAAGACAUUCAACACGACCUUUGAUCUGAAUUGCCAUAUUCUAACGCACACAGGGGAAAAGCCAUUCGAAUGCAGUGUUUGUCAUAAACAAUUUAAUAGGAAAAGUGAUUUUAUACGUCACAUGUUGGUCCACACAGGAGAAAAGCCAUUUGAAUGCAGAGUGUGUCAUAAACACUUUACUCGUAACAGUGUUCUUAAGGAUCACAUGUUGUUGCACACAGGGGAAAUGCCGUUUGAAUGCGGUUUUUGUGAUAAACGAUAUAAUCGGAAAGGUAAACUUCAAGAUCACAUGUUCGUUCAUACAGGAGAAAAACCGUUUGAAUGCAGUGUUUGUCGUAAACAAUUUAGUCGUAAAAGUACUCUUAAGCAUCACAUAGAGUCGGUCCACAAAAAAGGCCUUCGUUUGUCAAAUAGGAUCAGCAAUGAAAAGCAUCCUUAAAGGCCAAAGCUUAGUCCACUGGAGUGCCUAUUGUUUGUGGAACAUUUGUGGGGGACAGAUACGCAAGACAAUAUGACACAUAUAGUUAUGAAUUCCAUUAAUAUUUUCUUUGUUUAACCAAUAUUUUGGUAUAAGGCCACCAAAAAAACUUUGCAUAGAAUGCCGUUUGAAUGUAGUGUUUGUGAUAAACAAUUUAAUCGGAAAGGUCAUCUUAAGUGUCACACAGAGUUGGUCUACAAAGGGGAAAAAGCCCAUUCGAAUGCAGUGUUUGUCACAAACAAUUUAGACUGAAAGGUCACCUUAUGGAUCACAUGUUUGUUUACAGAAGGGAAAAGCCAUUUGAAUGCAGUGUUUGUGAUAAUCAAUUUAGUCGAAAAAGUCAUCUUAAGCAUCAAAUUUAGGUUCAUACAGGGGAAAAGCCAUUGAAAUGCAGUGUUUGUCAUGAACAAUUUACUCGUAAAAGUGUUCUUAAGGAUCACAUGUCGGUCCACACAGGGGAAAAAAGUUUGAAUGUAGUGUUUGUGAUCAACAAUUUAGUCAGAAAAGUAAUCUUAAGCGUCACACAGAGUUGGUUCACAAAGAAGGCAAAGACGAUCAGCAAUGAAGAGCAUCCUUAAGGCUCAAAGUAUAGUCCACUUGAGUGCCUAUUGUUUGUGGAACACUUGUUGGGGAUGGAUACAGAAUGUGACACCUGUAGUAGUGUAUUCAAUUAAACUUUUCAUUGUUUUAACAAUAUUUUUGUAUAAGGCCCCCAACAAACUUUGCUAAACCGAAGUUUCGCAAACUUUACAACCUUUUUUCCUUUAACAUAUUCAUAUUGUAGAUAAGGCAUGCCAUAUUAAUGCUUCUUUGUGAUCAUUUAUUGAUUGUUUAUUUUUUACAUAAUAAUUCCAUUUCUUUUAUUAAAUAUUAUUUGUUUAAAAUAGCCUUUCCUAUGGGAUUUUUUUCACUUUAUUUCAUGGGAAUGUUUAAAAGCUUGUUUUCUUUUCGUUUUUAUGUAUUUAAACGUCAUUUAAGGACUGUAUAAUCAUUUUUUAGUUAUAAGGCAAAUCCUUUUUUUAAAAUGGGAAAAAACAAAUGUUUGUUCUUAUUUUGAAAGAUUUAUUCAUAUUACCUGCAGGAACAAUAUAUUUUAUCAAAUGAUACAUAUCACUUUUCUUGUUAUGUCCCAAACCACUAUAGUGGGGGACAUAUUGUUUUUGGCCUGUUGGUCUGUUUGUGCCAACUUUAACAUUUUGCAAUAACUUUUGCUAUAUUGAAGAUAGUUACUUUAUAUUUGGCAUGCAUGUGUAUCUCAAGGAGCUGCACAUUUUGAGUGGUAAAAGGUCAAGGUCAUCCUUCAAGGUCAAAGGUCAAAAAUAUUUAGUCAAAGCGGCGCAGAAGGGGACAUAGUGUUUCUGACAAACACAUUUCUUGUUUAUAUAUAUUUGUUUCCACAGCAACCAGAAUUCUUGACUUAGGAACAAAAUGAAAUGACGUACAUAAUCUCCAUUAUGCCAAUUGCCCAUGUUUCAAGUUUCAUGAAAACAUGUGAAGAAUUUAAAGUUAUCGCAGGAUCCAGAAAAGUGUGACAGACAGACUGAAAGAAAGAGUGCAAACCAUUAGUCCCCUCUGGUGAAGGGGACAAUAAUACAGUAAAAAAACUCGAAGACGAUGGUAGCGAGAAAAAUACUUCGAAGUGGAUCUUUGAUUUAUUUGAAUUAUACGUGCAUUUGUAUUUGUAAUAGCAAUUCAGUUCAAUAAAACAGUUCUAAAACUAA